GAAACCAACAGGGAUUGCCUUAGUAACGGCGAGUGAAGCGGCAACAGCUCAAAUUUGAAAUCUGGCCCUUGGGUCCGAAUUGUAAUUUGUAGAGGAUGAUUUUGGUGCGGUAUCUUCCGAGUUCCUUGGAACAGGACGCCUUAGAGGGUGAGAGCCCCGUACGGUUGAAUGCCUAGCCUCUGUAAAUCUCCUUCGACGAGUCGAGUAGUUUGGGAAUGCUGCUCUAAAUGGGAGGUAAAUUUCUUCUAAAGCUAAAUAUUGGCCAGAGACCGAUAGCGCACAAGUAGAGUGAUCGAAAGAUGAAAAGCACUUUGAAAAGAGGGUUAAAUAGCACGUGAAAUUGUUGAAAGGGAAGGAUUUGUGACCAGACUUUUUCUGGGCGGAUCAUCCGGGGUUCUCUCCGGUGCACUUUGCCCAGUAAAGGCCAGCAUCGGUUUUCGGCGGGGGAUAAAAGCAGUAGGAAUGUGGCUCUCUUCGGGGAGUGUUAUAGCCCAUUGUAUAAUACCCUGCUGGGGACCCAGGUACGCGCUUCUGCAAGGAUGCUGGCGUAAUGGUUAUCAAUCACCCGUCUUGAAACACGGACCAAGGAGUCGAACAUUUGUGCGAGUGUUUGGGUGUUAAACCCUCACGCGUAAUGAAAGUGAACGGAGGUGAGAGCCCUUACGGGUGCAUCAUCGACCGAUCCUGAAGUUUUCGGAUGGAUUUGAGUAAGAGCAUAACUGUUCGGACCCGAAAGAUGGUGAACUAUGCGUGGAUAGGGUGAAGCCAGAGGAAACUCUGGUGGAGGCUCGCAGCGGUUCUGACGUGCAAAUCGAUCGUCAAAUCUGCGCAUGGGGGCGAAAGACUAAUCGAACCAUCUAGUAGCUGGUUACCG
rnacentral:rRNA from 1 species